UACGUAGGGUGCAAGCGUUGUCCGGAAUUAUUGGGCGUAAAGAGCUCGUAGGCGGUUUGUUGCGUCGGCUGUGAAAUCCCGGGGCUCAACCUCGGGUCUGCAGUCGAUACGAGCAAACUAGAGUGUUGCAGGGGAGACUGGAAUUCCUGGUGUAGCGGUGAAAUGCGUAGAGAUCCGGCGGAACACCGGUGGUGAAGGCGGUCUCCUGGGCCGAGGGCCGACGCUGAGGCGCGAGAGCGUGGGGAGCGAACCGG
rnacentral:rRNA from 1 species